rnacentral:lncRNA from 1 species
UUUUAAACCAUAACAUUAUUCUUUAUUCUCUUCUCUUUCUUUUUUAUUUCUCUCCUACCAAACAAUAUCAAAAUCUACUCUCUUUCUCACCUUUUUCUUUCUUUUUAUUUUCUCUCUCAUGUAUUUCUUUCUUCUUACUUUCUCUCCUAAACUAAACAUAGGCUUAGAUUAACUUAGCUUAUCUAAUUGAGUCAUAUCCAUAUUUGUCAGCUUAAUUUGUUGAGCUGCUGAACAUAAACUUGUCAGCAGCACAAUUUUGAUCUCUCACUCCCCUUCAAUCACUUUAUCUAUAAAAUAAAAUAAAUUGAGCGCAGCCACUUAUAAAUUAUAUAUUUGAUCCUCUGCAACAAUGUAGAAUGGCGUAUUCAUCUUCCCUCCAUUUUUAUGAUCUAACGUCAACAGUAGUGUUUGUGACCCAUUUGUCUCCGAUUGAAAAAUGAAAGUUCUAUACUUUUCUUUAUGAACACAUGCUACAAAUAUUUAACUGAUUUUUUUUACCGCCCAAUAUUGAAAUAUAUUUUGAACUAUUGGGUUGAUAUUGUACUAGACUAAUUAUACUUAGAGUUAGUUUUAGUAGUUUUAGUUAGUUUUACAUGUAUAUAUAGUUUACUUUCAUUGUAAACUAUCACUCAUUCAAUUCAAUGAUAAUAACGAGAAAUGUAUGAAGGCUAUGAUUUUCUAUUCGUUCUCUUUUUCUUCCUUCUUUUUUGUUCAUCAUUUCUUUCUCUUUCAUGCAUGACUUCUACCAUUUUAAGAUGGUAUUAGAGCGUAAUUAUUAUUUUGGUAGCUUCUGCUUGUGGCUCCAUCUUUCAAGAUUCAACAAAUAAUCAUCGUUAUUCUCAGAGAGCCACACAUGUUAAACAACAACUUUCUUACAAGAGGGUCAUAUAUCUACUAGAGGAAGACUUUGAUAUUCUACUAUUGAUAAUUUCAUCCUAUACUUUCUCGGCCUCAAAAAGGCUAUGUUCCAAGGCCAUCAUAUCAAGCUUCAUACUCUACUUCAAAUUGAGACUUAAUGUCAUGGAUGAAGGCGACCAAUUAUUGAAGAUUAUCUACCGAUCGUAAAUGGUCAGAAAUGUUGGAUUUCUUUGAAAUAUAUUAUUUUCAUUCUUGAUUAUGUUUUCAAUGAAGCAAUGUAUUUCAAGAUUCUAACUCUUUCUUUUGCAAGACUUUCUAAAACAUUCAUUUUGUUGUUGCUACACUUUUGACUGCUCAAAACAACAAUGACUAUUCUUUUAAGCCUUCCAAAUCAAGUUCCAAUUAUUAUAGUUGGUUAUGUUUCUUUUCUUUCCCUUCGUGUACAUGAAAGUUUUAAAGCGUUGGGCUGUGAUUUUACUAAAGAUGAAUUCUUCAUCAUUUACUCCCCAAUUAUUUCUUUUCUUUACUUGUCUAUUUUCUUUACCUCUAUCUCAUUAAACACACAACAUUAUGGUGUAUAAUUUUUCUCAUUGAAGCAUCAUAUUAUGAUCAAGAUUAAGAUCUGUUUUUCUCUCUUUCAUCCAUUAUGG